GAAACGAAUCGCUUUACUCCAUAUGGUCUGUAUAUUUUAUCACCAAUUACACACACACGGUGCCCUUGGAGAAAAGGCUGCUCCUGAGAGCACAAGACUGGCUAAAGAACACGGACGACUCUGUACUUCAGUAUUCCACCGCAGGCCUGCAAACAGAAAGAAACUCCGGGAACACUAAAAGAAGUCAUUCAAUGUGCCUUGAAGCCUGACACACACUCCCUCAAGGGAGAUGCUGUGUUCAGAAGAGCUGGUAAGAGGGUGAGGCCAGAAGUGGAGGGACCAGGCAGGUAUUGCAAUGACGCAGGCAAGACCAGGUGAGCAAGCGCACUGUAAGAGAAGUCGGAGGGCUCCGAAGAUGCCCUGGAGGAGAGCCAACAGGAUGUGUUGACAGACCCAACAGAUCUGAGAGGAAGAAAGGCCCAAGAGCAUGCCAAGGAUUCCGGCAGGAGCAAGGGAGGGACGGAGUCACUACGUUCCGAGAAGGGAACGAGCAUGGGAAGAGCACGUUCUGAAGAGAGGGGCGGAAGUCCAGUGUGGACUGCUCCAUUUGAGAUAGCAUCAGACACUCACACGGAGUGAGAUACCCAGUGCAGAGCUGCAAUUCCCUGUCUGGAGUUCUCGGGAACGUUGGCCAAGACGGGAUAGCAAUUGCAUUCCACGCAAAUGGACAAGGCACUGAGCGCAGACAAGAAGAGAUGAGGUUCCAGCCCUGUGACAACCUAACAUUGGACGGCUGGGAGAUGAGGGGCAUCAACAAAGCAGACUGGGAGCGGGCAGUGGGCAGGAGGACAUGCCGGAAUCCAGCGCUCCCAGCAGGAAUCAGCCCUAUCUCUGAUGCUGGCUGACCGAUCACUGAUAGGUGGAUCUGCUGAAAGGCAGGUCAGCGGUGACCGUGAGAACAGCAGUUCUGGCGCAGCGGCAGGGCCGAAAGCCUGACUGGGCUGAGGUCACUAGAGAGCAGGAGGAGAAGCGAAAACUCCUUUGAGGAACUGGGCGGUAGAGGGGGAAGAGAAACAGGGCAGGGGCUGCAGCAGACAUGGGUUUAGAAAGACCUUCUGGAGGACGAGACAGUGUGCGUGCUGACUGGCAGGAAGCCAGGGGAGCGGUGGGACUGACAGAGUAACUCCCCUGAGUAAGGCGAGCAGAUCGGGCCAAGCGGCCAAGUGCAGAGGUGGCCUUUCCUGGGUGCACACAGUUCGCCCACAGUAAGAGGAAGGGCAGCCGAAUACACGGGCACAGAUCCAGGUAAAUAGGUAGACAUGUGGUGAGAGUU
rnacentral:lncRNA from 1 species